rnacentral:rRNA from 1 species
GAACGAAAAGAGGGAAAGAGCCCGCUCCCGCCGGAAGGGAGCGGCAAACGGGAGAGAAACACGAAAACAACCCGCCUUCAGGAGGGGGACAACAGACGGAAACGACUGCUAAUACCGAAUAAGUUCCAAGGGCCGCAUGGCCCAUGGAAGAAAAGGUGGCCUCUACCUGUAAGCUAUCGCCUGAAGAGGGGUUUGCGUCUGAUUAGCUGGUUGGAGGGGUAACGGCCCACCAAGGCGACGAUCAGUAGCCGGUCUGAGAGGAUGAACGGCCACACUGGAACUGAGACACGGUCCAGACUCCUACGGGAGGCAGCAGUGGGGAAUCUUCCGCAAUGGGCGAAAGCCUGACGGAGCAACGCCGCGUGAGUGAUGACGGCCUUCGGGUUGUAAAACUCUGUGAUCCGGGACGAAAAGGCAGAGUGCGAAGAACAAACUGCAUUGACGGUACCGGAAAAGCAAGCCACGGCUAACUACGUGCCAGCAGCCGCGGUAAUACGUAGGUGGCAAGCGUUGUCCGGAAUUAUUGGGCGUAAAGCGCGCGCAGGCGGCUUCCCAAGUCCCUCUUAAAAGUGCGGGGCUUAACCCCGUGAUGGGAAGGAAACUGGGAAGCUGGAGUAUCGGAGAGGAAAGUGGAAUUCCUAGUGUAGCGGUGAAAUGCGUAGAGAUUAGGAAGAACACCGGUGGCGAAGGCGACUUUCUGGACGAAAACUGACGCUGAGGCGCGAAAGCGUGGGGAGCAAACA